rnacentral:lncRNA from 1 species
ACCAUAGUUGAUUAUGAGUACUUGGUUGACCACAAGAGAAUAUAUUAGGGCUGAAUAAGACUUUAAUGAACAUCUUGACCUGAAUCCCAAAUGUUGUGACAGAGGAAAUUUGAGAUUGAAAACAUUCCCAGGGGCCUGACUUUAAUUGUAACCUGGGCACUGGACUGUCAGUGCUGUCUGACUUCAGAAUUGCCAACUGACUUGAUGGAUCUACAAUGAACAGCCUUUUCAUAGAUGACUACAUGACAUCUGAGUAUUCCACAGAAGGUUGAGGAGUAGGAAAAGAAGAAAUUGCAAUAGUCCAUCUCUGCUGGUCACCUGUGGAAAUCCUCUUCAUGUUCCUCUGACUAGUUCCUGACCCCAAACAAAGAUGUAAUCAACAUUGAUAAACUUGUUACCGAACACCUACUUCCAAUAUGACUGUUCAUCUCUUCUGGAAAAAAAAUGAACAUCAUGAAGUGUGAGCAUUAAGAGGCCAUUUGUGGGAUUAUUGGAUGUUUUUGAAUGCUAGAGUCCAACCUCUGACUCAUAAGCCCAGAAAACCACUGCCUGUUUUGAGCAAGCAAGUGGCAUGAUAAAAAAGUUCUACCAAGAUGUAGUUGGCAGCUUAAUGCAAGACUGGUUGACUAGACGAAGUCUGGAGGGAAAUAGAUUUUGUAGGGGAAAGCUGGAGGGUCUAUGUGAAACCAUAUAGAAGGAAACACUUAUUUGGGCCUGGUCAUCAUUUGCGCCCACUUCAGCGUGCCCAAGAUACCUUCUCCUUGGAUUCAGUGCUCACAAUGGCCCUCCUUUUGAAAAUAAGCACUCCCGACUUGCUACCCUUGAGCUGUUCUCACAUCCCUGGGAAGGUGAGUGCCAUGCUCUUGUCGCCCUGUGUGUAUCUUCAGACCUGUCAGUGUCACCUAGACCAAAU